rnacentral:misc_RNA from 1 species
GAUGAAGAACGUAUCGAAAUGCGAUAAGUAAUGUGAAUUGCAGAAUUCAGUGAAUCAUCGAAUCUUUGAACGCACAUUGCGCCCCUUGGUAUUCCGGGGGGCAUGCCUGUUCGAGCGUCAUUUCAACCCUCAAGCUCAGCUUGGUAUUGAGUCCAUGUCAGUAAUGGCAGGCUCUAAAAUCAGUGGCGGCGCCGCUGGGUCCUGAACGUAGUAAUAUCUCUCGUUACAGGUUCUCGGUGUGCUUCUGCCAAAACCCAAAUUUUCUAUGGUUGACCUCGGAUCAGGUAGGGAUACCCGCUGAACUUAAGCAUAUCAAUAAGCGGAGGA